UACAUGUGCUUGUCACGUGUAGGAGAUGCGUUUUGAAGUCCCUUACUGUAGAUGUCAAUCCAAGGGCCGUCGAGGCUUGAUCUUGAAUUGGGCUGGAGAUUUCUUCAAGGGCCGUUGAGGCUUGAUCUUGAAUUGGGCUUGAGAUUUCUUCAAGGGCCAUCGAGGCUUGAUCUUGAAGGUUGAAAUUGGACCACAAGGAGCUUCAUGUGGUAGAUGAUCUAUGGCUUUGGUAGUGGGUGAAUCGACACGUAUUUUGUUGCGCUUUGU
rnacentral:lncRNA from 1 species